UUAGAACCUGAAGCAGUGUUAAGGUGUGCUUCCCCUGGAGUUGAACUUUCCAAAUCAAUGUGGCAGCUGAUGGAAGAAAGGCAGUGUCUGAGCUUUAGAAGCCUGAGGAUGUGAAGAAAGCAGAAAACUGUAUACCUGUCCCUGGCACAAUAUCUCAGCCCUCCACAAACUCAGAGAGAAAGACUUAUCUGGGAACAUAAAACUACAGGAAGAAGAAAAGGACUUUUAAAUAUUUUAAACUUAACAUUUAAAAAUUUUCAUAAGACUCCAGUCAAACCCAAGGUCAAUCUUCUAAAGCAGACUCUACUUGACCCCGGAGGAUGCAACUGACCAGAGGCUAGUAAGCUUGCUAAAUUAUUGUGGAUAACAGCGAUGUAUGGUGACAAGAAUUUACAUAUGAACGAAAUGUGAACAGUCGGCUUAAUUUC
rnacentral:lncRNA from 1 species